rfam:Ixodes scapularis strain Wikel colony gcontig_1107728839446, whole genome shotgun sequence.
GUCAGGGUGGCCGAGUGGUCUAAGGCGCCAGACUCAAGGAAUGUUCCUUGUCCCGACAGGGGUUUGAGAUUUCUGGUCCACAAAUGUGGGCGUGGGUUCGAACCCCACUCCUGACA